rnacentral:ribozyme from 1 species
UGCAGAAUUUGAAGGAAAGGAAGACAAAGCCUUGCGGAAUCAAAAUGAGCAAGGACAGGUGCCCAGACGGACUCUUAUCCUUUGUGUUGGUGUGUUUGCAUUUUCCUUUUGAUCUUCUCCGUUUUUCUCUCUCCCUUUCCUCUCUGUUUAUCAUUGAAAUAA